UGGUGUUAAUUGAAUAUUUCACCAACGGGAACACUGAAAUUUUUCCACUACAUAGUGUGCCAAGUUUCAGAAAUUUGAGCCUAUCACUUUCCAAUAUUUAACAUUCGAUUCCUCAAACAAAAAUACGGAAAUUAAGUCGAGCGAUCUCACGCACGCUAGUAUGUAAAAAAAAUCAGUGUGCAAAAUUUGCUUGAGAGUUGCUGACCGGUGCUCUCGACUGUUCAUAUCUUCUGUCCAAAUGUACACAAAAAAAGGAAGAGAGAAAGCGUCAAAAAAAAAACAGACUCAAGAAUUUAGCAAAGAGGAUAUUCCAUGAACUCUUCAAUUGAAUAUGGCUCCAUUUUCACAAUAAGUAUGACAAAAUGACGAAAUUUUUAGGCAGUAUAAUAUUAUGCACUUUGUGUAUUUUCAGUUAGUGCUAAGGAAUGCCUCGGAAAGUGGUAUGGAGUGCAUAAGUAGAAAAAAAAGCCUAAUUAUUGGUGAUUCUAUUCAUUAGAUACUAAAAACUCCUGUCUGCUCGACUAGUUUCGAUGACUUUUCAUCAUCAUUUUCAAGAGCUGAGACCUAGACAGCUGCAACAAGAGAAGGCAACAUCAAACGAAUAGGUAUCAACAACUCACGGUGCAGCAGUCCAGAACAAUUCUCCAAUUGUGCCAAAUUGACCAAGGCGCAUUCUUCAAAACAAUUUCUCGAACUCAAAAUGCAAAUGAAAUAAAACAAAACCCGAAACGUCAAAUAACAUCGUACGGAUCAACACGCAUGAGAAACACAUUUUUUAAAAGAACUUCUUAAAAUAAAACGGUCAAGGUCAAGCUCAUCAAUCCGCUCAGUGGUGGCACGGUAAACGAAACAAAAGAGGUGAACGAACGAUACAAGCAUGCAUGUCAAAAAUAAAUGGAAAUAAAUAUGAAUGAACCAAAACAAUAUAAAAUACUUUAAAAAGUUUUAAAAAUAUUAAAAAAAUAUCACAAAAGGAUCACAAAUAGGAGGGGAGAGAACAAGGCGGAAAAUGAAAGUCACUCUUCAAGCUCAGUGGAUGCUUUGUCCUCCAAUGCAGGCGUCUCCGAAAAUAUAUCGAAUAGACGUGGGAAAACGUUUGUUGACGAAGCGUUGAGUGUAUUCAAUGAAUUAUCAUUGAUGUGGCAAUAUAAAACAAUUUCUUCCACCACAGAUUGUCUUAGGCCGAAUUUAGAGGGAUGUAAGAUCCUAACAGAAUUAAGGUCAAAAUUAUGUUUGGAGAAUCUCAAGUGUCUACCAAACACAGAUUUAUCACACCUCUAAUUUUUCUGACUACCAAGGUGUUCAGAGAUAGGCUGCUGUAGAUUGCGUACUGUUCUACCAAUGUACACUCUGGAUCCCCGCAUCUCAAUUUGUAUACACCACUCUGUUGUAAUCUUAUCUUUGUUGUGGACAAAAAUGUCAUGCAAGGUAUUGGAAGAUCUGUAAGCUAUUAUGAUACCAUGUUCGUGGAAUAGAUUGCCAACCUUGGUAGAAAUGGGGCCUUUAUAUGAAAGUUUCAUAUACUUAAAAACAGGAACUGUCCAUUGCAGUUCCGAGGCGUCGAAAUUGAGACGCCUCAUUUCGUCCCGAUUUCCAACCGUUUGAAUUAGAAGUUAUAUGUUAGAUUCGCCGAGCAUAGAGUUGGGAUUCCAUAACCG